CGGCGAGCCGCACUGCGGGCAGUGCCCGCGCCUCCGCUCAGGAGGGCGGCCGCAGCGGUUCAAGCUUUGCCUUUGUGACAUCAAACCUCUUCUUCUGGUUGGGCCAUUUUCAAGAGCUGACACCAGUUCCCACGUAGUUCAAAAGAGGCGGCGCGCAGGGAGCCGGGCCCAGACCACGC